GCGGGUGUAGCUCAAAGGUAGAGCUGAAGCCUUCCAAGCUUACGGCAAGAGUUCGAUUCUCUUCUCCCGCUCCA
rnacentral:tRNA from 1 species